rnacentral:SRP_RNA from 1 species
GGCGGGUCUCCCCGCAUUGCAAGGCGGUGAACCUGGUCAGAUCCGGAAGGAAGCAGCCACAGCUGUCGGCUGCAAGUGCCGGGGGUCGGACUCGCCACC